AUAACGCCCGGAAACGGGUGCUAAUACUGGAUAUUCACUGAUCUUCGCAUGGGGGUUGGUGGAAAGGUUUUUUCUGGUGGGGGAUGGGCUCGCGGCCUAUCAGCUUGUUGGUGGGGUGAUGGCCUACCAAGGCUUUGACGGGUAGCCGGCCUGAGAGGGUGACCGGUCACAUUGGGACUGAGAUACGGCCCAGACUCCUACGGGAGGCAGCAGUGGGGAAUAUUGCACAAUGGGCGAAAGCCUGAUGCAGCGACGCCGCGUGAGGGAUGGAGGCCUUCGGGUUGUAAACCUCUUUCGCUCAUGGUCAAGCCGCAACUUAGGGUUGUGGUGAGGGUAGUGGGUAAAGAAGCGCCGGCUAACUACGUGCCAGCAGCCGCGGUAAUACGUAGGGCGCGAGCGUUGUCCGGAAUUAUUGGGCGUAAAGGGCUUGUAGGCGGUUGGUCGCGUCUGCCGUGAAAUCCUCUGGCUUAACUGGGGGCGUGCGGUGGGUACGGGCUGACUUGAGUGCGGUAGGGGAGACUGGAACUCCUGGUGUAGCGGUGGAAUGCGCAGAUAUCAGGAAGAACACCGGUGGCGAAGGCGGGUCUCUGGGCCGUUACUGACGCUGAGGAGCGAAAGCGUGGGGAGCGAACAGGAUUAGAUACCCUGGUAGUCCACGCUGUAAACGUUGGGCACUAGGUGUGGGGGCCACCCGUGGUUUCUGCGCCGUAGCUAACGCUUUAUGUGCCCCGCCUGGGGAGUACGGCCGCAAGGCUAAAACUCAAAGGAAUUGACGGC
rnacentral:rRNA from 1 species